ensembl:lncRNA
CUAGAUGCAAUGUUAUGGAGAUCUGAUCCGCUCCUUUGGUGAGGUCAUUCAAGUAGCUGGCUCAAGCAUAGAGCAAACAAUGACAUCAGACUCAAACAAACGUCAAGCCUGAUAGACACUGUCGAAAGAUGUUUCCAUGGGAAUGGCUCCAUUUCAGGGCUGUACUGUCAUGUGCUGACACAUUUUCAGGGAAAUGAAUGAGGAUUGCUGCAUAUCUGGCAGUUCUAUUCCUGACACUAAGUAGACUGCCAACUUCGUCCCAUGGGAGUAAGGACGGGUUGCCAGGUUCGGGUCAAAGAAGACGACACUUCCUAUUAAUUCAUCCAUCAGGUCUGCCAGGAUCAUAAUGACUGGUGACAGCUUAAGACUACUGUCUGACGUCUUCAUUAGACCCAUGUGUGCAGGAUCUUACCGCCUUGCAGAGACAAAGCGACCUGAACUCAUUAACUUUCAAUGAGUGCUAGCAACUUUCUGCGACAUUAGUGACAGUGACCAGUGGCAACAGGAUGUGGGCGUGUCCAGUGGACACAUUGAAGUUAAGAAAAGUUUGACAGUAUGCAAAUGAGGAGCGAAGCAGCGACUACCAAUGGGAAUGAAGAUAACAGAUCUCCAACUAUUCAAAAUGUGUAAGCUGUGCUUGCCUAUGGAGACCAA